GACGAACGCUGGCGGCGUGCUUAACACAUGCAAGUCGUACGGUAAGGCCCUUUCGGGGGUACCCGAGUGGCGAACGGGUGAGUAACACGUGAGUAACCUGCCCACAACUUUGGGAUAACGCUAGGAAACUGGUGCUAAUACUGGAUAUGUGCCCCUGCUGCAUGGUGGGGGUUGGAAAGCUCCGGCGGUUGUGGAUGGACUCGCGGCCUAUCAGCUUGUUGGUGGGGUAGUGGCCUACCAAGGCGGCGACGGGUAGCCGGCCUGAGAGGGUGACCGGCCACAUUGGGACUGAGAUACGGCCCAGACUCCUACGGGAGGCAGCAGUGGGGAAUAUUGCACAAUGGGCGCAAGCCUGAUGCAGCAACGCCGCGUGCGGGAUGACGGCCUUCGGGUUGUAAACCGCUUUCAGCAGGGACGAAGCUUUUUGUGACGGUACCUGCAGAAGAAGCACCGGCUAACUACGUG
rnacentral:rRNA from 1 species